rnacentral:rRNA from 1 species
UACGAAGGGGGCUAGCGUUGUUCGGAAUCACUGGGCGUAAAGCGCGUGUAGGCGGAUUGUUAAGUCGGGGGUGAAAUCCUGAGGCUCAACCUCAGAACUGCCUUCGAUACUGGCGAUCUUGAGUCCGGGAGAGGUGAGUGGAACUCCUAGUGUAGAGGUGAAAUUCGUAGAUAUUAGGAAGAACACCAGUGGCGAAGGCGGCUCACUGGCCCGGAACUGACGCUGAAACGCGAAAGCGUGGGGAGCAAACAGG